UGCAAGGGGAGGACACAGCACAGUGACAUCACAGGAUACCCCUCCCAUCAGGAAAAGCGAGGCUGAGAACUCAGCUCCUCCCCAGGAGGACCGAGCCCUGAGCACAGACACAGUGUUGCCUGACCCUUCGUGCCAUGGUCUCCAGGCUGCUCUGUUGGGUGCUGCUUUGUCUCCCAGGAGCAGGCCUGGGAGAGGCUCAAGUCACCCAAACUCCAAGACACCUGAUCAAAAUGAGAGGACAGCAAGUGACUCUGAGAUGCUCUCCUAUCUCUGGGCACACCAGCGUGUCCUGGUACCAACAGGCCCCAGGACAGGGCCCUCAGUUCAUCUUUGAAUACUACAAUGAGAUGCCGAAUGAAAAAGGAAACUUUCCUGCUCGAUUCUCAGGGCUCCAGUUCUCUAACUAUAGCUCUGAGAUGAAUGUGAGCGCCUUGGAGCUGGGGGACUCAGCCCUUUAUCUUUGUGCCAGCAGAUUGGCACAGCCCUACAAAGCCAACCACAUUCUGUGCACAAACCUCCCUGGCCCAAUGUGGAGCAACCUCAGCCCUGAUGUAUCUGUGAGAAUCUGGGGACUGCAGGGGGAAAGAAAGGUAAUUUAGGAUGCUAGGACCCACAGCCUGGGGCUUUCUGCUAUUCAGGGCUGGAAGAAACA